rnacentral:rRNA from 1 species
GUACGUAGGGUGCGAGCGUUGUCCGGAAUUAUUUGGGCGGUAAAGGGCUCGUAGGCGGUUUGUCGCGUCGGGAGAUGAAAACAGCCGGGCUUAACUCGGUGCUUGCUUUCGAUACGGGCAGACGUAGAGGUAUGCAGGGGAGAACGGAAUUCCUGGUGUAGCGGUGAAAAUGCGCAGAUAUCAGGAGGAACACCGGUGGCGAAGGCGGUUCUCUGGGCAUUACCUGACGCUGAGGAGCGAAAAGCCCAGGGGGAGGCAA